CACUCUCACACUCCGACAGCACCGGCAUCGUGCUGUGGUUCUCAUGUUUUACCGCAUCCGUGGGCAGCACUGGAGAGAUUUGGACCCGCAUCCUCCGAUCUUGGCUGCAUGGUUUAACCGCAGGAUGUCUUCUCACACAAACGCACACGUGUCUCAGCAGCGGGAUGCAAAGGUGUGUGUUUUUCCUGCAGUGGACCGUGGGGGAGACAUGCAGAGGUGAGAGGGGUGACCCAUGCCCGUGUAAAAGCAGGGUGGUGCCACCACACUUUUCCAUGUGACACCCCCAAGUUUGGGUUCUGCUGCGUCCUCACUGGCUCGUGAUGCUGCCUCAUGCACUCCACCCCCUUCGCCUUUUUUUUUUUUUUUUUUGCGCUUUCCCAGCAUCAGCAGCAGCACGCACGCACGCACGCAGCGGCUGCUCGUGCAGGCAGGCAGGCAGGCGCACAGCACAGCGUCCACCCAACACACCACAGAGAAAGAGAGACGUCAUUCAGGCUCGUGCAGGACAAUGGGGUCCACUGUGCUUAACGGGAGAUGUUUGCCAUUCUAUGCACGCGGUGCACACGAUAGCGGGUGUGCACUGAGGGUGUGUGCGCGCGCGUAUAGUGUGUGUGUGUUUGCUGGGAGGACUGGAGGAGCGGAGACCCGGCAGCUCCGCGCACUACGCACCGUCAUCUACGGCUGCAGGAAGACCCUGACCUGAACCGAUUAUUGAUGAAGCACAUUUAUUCCCUUCUUUUCUCUCUCCUCCUCUUUUUUGUUUUUUUAAUGGAUGAAAUCGGUUGAAAUGAUCAUUGGACUAUGGUUUGAGAAAAGACGUAAAACAAGAAGAAAAAAAGAAUCCUAUGGAGCCGAACCUGUUAUGCAGGAUUUACUCAAAGUUUGUGGAAUCCGUGCAGCCAUGCAGAGACACAUGCACACAACACCUCGGGAUGGAGCUGCAGAAAAACAGGCCACAGAUGAGAGUCUCCACCUCCUGCCCCGAGGAUCAAAGGUCAGCAGCGGGGUCAGAGCGAGGCCCUGUCUCUCCGCAGUCCCAGCAGAGACGAGAAGAAGAUGA
rnacentral:lncRNA from 1 species